rnacentral:rRNA from 1 species
GAUGAACGCUGGCGGCGUGCCUAAUACAUGCAAGUCGAGCGAAUGGAUUAAGAGCUUGCUCUUAUGAAGUUAGCGGCGGACGGGUGAGUAACACGUGGGUAACCUGCCCAUAAGACUGGGAUAACUCCGGGAAAACGGGGCUAAUACCGGAUAACAUUUUGAACCGCAUGGUUCGAAAUUGAAAGUCGGCUUCGGCUGUCACUUAUGCAUGGACACGCGUCGCAUUAGCUAGUUGGUGAGGGAACGGCCCACCAAGGCAACGAUGCGUAGCCGACCUGGGAGGGUGAUCGGCCACACAGGGACUGAGACACGGCCCAGACUCCUACGGGAGGCAGCAGUAGGGAAUCUUCCGCAAUGGACGAAAGUCUGACGGAGCAACGCCGCGUGAGUGAUGAAGGCUUUCGGGUCGUAAAACUCUGUUGUUAGGGAAGAACAAGUGCUAGUUGAAUAAGCUGGCACCUUGACGGUACCUAACCAGAAAGCCACGGCUAACUACGUGCCAGCCGCCGCAGUAA